UUUCUUUUUGGUAAAUAAAGUUAUUUGAUCAUCUAUAUCGACAACUGACUAUCAUAGUAAAAUUGUAAAAGGUUUAAGAGGGUUUUUUUUAUUUUUCUCACAAGAAAGCUUGUUUUAUCUUUAAAUGUCCGAACGCUUUUCCGAGGAGAAUUGAUAAUAUUUAGAGAGCCACUUUCACAACGUCACAAUCAUUUUUUUUUGUUGCGUAACGUUGUUAGUACUCCAUGGUUACUAACAAUGCAGGAAUCAUCAAGAUGACUGGACUGUCUUGUGACAUUACCAGUUUGAAUACGUAAAGAUUUGCUUCCAUGUGAUAUGUACACGAUAGCAAGUUUUAUAUACUGGUUCCUGGUUGGUUUUCUGUAUAUUGGGAUUGGCAUACCGUAUGCAAUCCUGAAGCUGUCAUUUUACUGUCUACAAAUAGGAUUCAGUAACGAGUGCAGCGUAGUGUGUCGACUCGUAUCCUUCAUAUUGAUAGAACUAGCCAUUAGCUUGUUGCUAAAACUGAUGAACGCAGUGUUAAGAACAUGUGAAGAAGGUCACAAGAUAACUAAAGGUCAUACGUUUGAAGAAGAACAGAGCAGACUGAUGGAAAACAGCAAAAUAAGUCAAACAUCGCCACAAUGGAAAUUGAAAUAUGAGAUGGACGAUAAAGAGUACAGGGAUCUGAAAAAGCAAUUGAAGCUCAUUUUUACACGUCAGAAAAAGAGACGACAUGAUAUAAUAUCAAAAUUCAAAAGAAAACGUGAUAGUUUAAAAACUGAACUGGAAAGCAAAACUAAGCUGUUCUCUGGUGUUAAAUGUAAAGCAACAGCCUUCGCUUUGGACACAGAAAAUAUGAUUUUACAGAUAAGAAUCGGCCAUGCAAAAUUACAACGCUUAAAAGAAGAAAACACGAAACGUAUGGAGCGAUAUGCCGAACUAGCAGAAAAAAUACAAUGGGAUUAUCGACAAUCAAGUCUGGCAGACCAAGAACGAUCUUUCUUUGAAUUUUCUAA